GAUGAACGCUGGCGGCGUGCCUAAUACAUGCAAGUCGAGCGAACAGACGAGGAGCUUGCUCCUCUGACGUUAGCGGCGGACGGGUGAGUAACACGUGGAUAACCUACCUAUAAGACUGGGAUAACUUCGGGAAACCGGAGCUAAUACCGGAUAAUAUAUUGAACCGCAUGGUUCAAUAGUGAAAGACGGUUUUGCUGUCACUUAUAGAUGGAUCCGCGCCGCAUUAGCUAGUUGGUAAGGUAACGGCUUACCAAGGCAACGAUGCGUAACCGACCUGAGAGGUAGGCGCGACACAAGGAGAGAGAGAAGCGGACCAAAACCCAACGGAAGAGGCAAGAAGGUAAUUGUCGGCAUCGGGAGCAGUAUUAGCGACAACACGAGGAGUGAGUAAAGAAGGUUUUAGAAACGUAAAACUUUUUAUUGGAGGAAGAAAAAAUGGGUAAGAACCACUGACCGUCUAACGAUCACAAAAUAAAAAGGCCGGGGCAGCCUUGGGG
rnacentral:rRNA from 1 species